rnacentral:lncRNA from 1 species
AGGGAGAGAGAGAGAGAGAGAGAGAGAGAGAGAGAGAGAGAGAGAGCAAGGAAGCAAGCAGUACCUGCAAGCAGAAAAUAUCUGUAUUAUAUAUGGAAAACUUAUUAUAUAGGUAGGGGAAGUCCAGCCCCUGGGCGGGACAGUUCAGAAAUAGGGAAAGACUUGGGGAUGCUGGGAGAACCUGGAGGGCAGGUCUGCUUUGGUUUGUAAAAUAAGCACCUCAGCUGGUUGUCCUGGGUCUGAAUCCCAGCAUAUGGCAUGAAGGAACAAUAGAAUAUUUUAAUAAAGGAGACAAGACUAAAAAGAAAGGAAUUGAGUUUUGUGUUUCUGUUAGUCUGGCUUGUGUACGGAGAUCCUUCUAGAGUCAUUGCUAGGCCUCUGAAGACCCAAAGCUUUCUUCAGUUGUUUCAUUCUUCUUGGAAUAGAGGCAGGCAGAAUAUUUUCUAUCUUUGUAAAUCUGCAUCUUGAGUUGAGGGAGGUCCUGCAUCUGCUGCUCCUUAAUUGCCUUCAGCUCAACAAUCUUCCAUAUUUUGCUAAGGCACAUUCUGUUCUCCCACAGCACAAAGCUGGCAGUUGUUAGCUUUUAUUGCUGCCAGUGAAGAAAUUUAUUAAAAGCAAAAUCAAACCCUCAUAAAGUAGAGAACAUUCUAGCACACUGAACAGGACAAAGUAGUGGUCUCCUUUAGCUUGAAUCAGCUUAGCCUAAUGGAGAGUUGAUUACAGCUUCUUUAUUUUCAACAUUCUAUGAAUCUAACGGAAACAUUGCUUUAAGUUGCCAGCAGAACCUGUCCCAUGUUUGAGAACCACAGCUUUGAGUCACACAAAGACUUAAGAAAUAUAAGCAAGAAGACACCAGAGCUAUGAAUAUGCUAGGUGUUGGAGCUACAUAGUCUUUUAGAGAGAAUGGUAAUGUUGCCUUCAUUAUGUUUGCUAAAUUUUUCCUUUCCAGUCUCUGGUCUUUGAUGAAAGAAUUUCAGAAUAUCAGUAUCAUACUUGAUGUGGUGGCAGAAAUAUGUUUUCCAUCCAUAAAAAGGCUAAUGACUUUUCUUCUGUUUAUAGCUGAGUGAUUUGCUUCUAACAGGGCUGGCCUCUGUAGUCCUUACUGAGAGAGUUCUUGCCUGCAGCCUGCUAGUGCCAUUUGCAUACUAAUCAUUUCCGUAAUUGAUCUUGCCAGGUCUUUUCAAACCUUGUAGGAGGCACUGGCCUGCUGCUCUGAAAUUAACUAAGGCCUCCCUGGAGAGGAGCUGUGUCACAUGAGUAUCCUGACACAUCAGUUCCUCCACCUAAAUGUGCCCUGUGACCCCACACUGGAGGAUUCUGAUCAGUGUGCAGGGAGUCCCUGCAACUUCCAGGAAGAAGACUGUGUAUUCCAGUAGCAUUUCAACAAAACAACAGGAGCAGCAGCAGCAGCAGUAACUGCAACAACAACAACAACAACAACAACAACAACAACAACAACAAUGAAUUGAAAAUCAAGCCAAGAACACCACAAGAAGAGCCACAGAGUCAAGAACCUGAGACCAUGAAUGGGGGCUCACAGAGCUUGGGCCACCAACCGGGGAGCACACAAUAGCUAGAAAUAGAUGCUCUAUACAUUUGUAGCAAACAUACAGCUUGCCUUUUAGGUGGGGCCCCUAACAAAUGGAGCAGAGGUUGUCUUCAUCCCUGUUCCCUGCCAUUGGAUGCCCUUCCCCUGACCUAGGCUGCCUGGUUGGGCCUCAGUGGGAGAGGGUGCCUAUUGCUUCUGGGACUAGAUGCCCCAGGGUGGGGUGGUACCCAAGGGGAGCUUCGGAGGAGGGACUUUUAAGGGUGGGCCUGGGAAGACCAGAGGGAAGGUAGCUGUGAUUGGGAUGUAAAGUGAAUAAAUAAAAAAUAAAAAUAAAAAACAGAUGAAAAUCAAAACCAGGAAAACUGUCCACAUUUCCUUGAAAUGCUGUACCCAUCUCCUUUCUGUUAAACUAGUAUGGAAACCUUAACCUCUGGGCAUUCAGUGAGCAAUUCCAAUGCAAGUGUGAAUAUUUGUCUUUUCUCUUGCUAAUCAAUUACCAGUUAAUUUGAAGGUCUGCUUCUGGAGUCAAAUCUUAAUGGAUAGAGUAAAAGUUCAUUCUUCUAAUAACUGAAAAGUCAAAUCUCAAGUGCUAGCUCACAGUUUUAUGAUGAACAUCAGUCUUUAAGCAAUAUCCUCUGACAGACUAAAUGUAUGCAUAGUUUUGUUUGAGAACCAAAAUAAUGUUGAUAAAUUUCAAUUGUUAGGGACAACACAGUAAAUAUUUUAGACUUGGGGGGUUAUAUGGUGUCUCUUGCCAUGCUUAAUUGUGCUCUUGUGGUAUAGGAGCAUCCGUCAGUAUCCAUCAGUAACACUUACAUAAGCAAGUAUGGCUAUAUUUCAAUAAAGUUUUAUUGGUAGAUACUGAAGUUUCAUAAACUUUUCAUUUUUUUUUAAUUACUAAAUAUUUUCCUCAGAACUCCUUAAUUUGUUUGGUAUAUAAAAACUGAUAGCUGGCUAGACUUGGUGUGGGCCAUAGCUUGUUGACUAUUUAUCUAGACCAUUAUGCCCAGCCUUUUUUACUUUAUAGAACACAUGGAGAAUGAUGCUUGAACCACAUGCUGGGGUAAAUGACCAUGGACACUCAUGGUGGAGUUGGAUUUGAUGGAUUGUUAGCUGGUAGACCUUUGACUGUAUUGAGAGCUGAGACCACUGAAAAACAUGUAAUUUAUUCACUAGUUUACAAGCUACUGAUAUGGAAUCCUAGACAGUCUUCCCAUCUUCUAUCUCAGUACAUGACACGAUGCAGACUAUUUGAAGACCCUUUGAAUAUUCUAGAGAUAAGCUGACUAUUGUCUGAGCACUCAUUUCUCAAAAAAAUGCAGGAAACCAUGACUAAAUUAUACAUAGAUAAUUAUACUAGAGUUUAUACUGGUUGAAGAGAAAGCCAUAUUUUGUCAGAAAGUGCUAUCCUGGGUCCUCAAGUCCCAUCAGUGGUAGCCAGCAAAGUUGUUCAACCCUCGGUACCUCUGGUUCAUUCUGUCCUGGACAUCUCUGUAUAUACUGGGGAUUAUAAGAAAUCAUGAUGUUUUAAUUGCUGGGCUAUUUGCAAUGAUUUUUUUUACAGCCUUACUUAAAGAUCAAGAAUGGCUUAAAGACUAAAAAGAGAUAUGGAUAAUUUAAAAUUUGAUAUUCUAGGUUAUAAUGCUCUAUUUCAUAAUCUCACAACUAAGUAUAAGUUAAUAAGUUUAUAGAUACUAUAUCUAAGUCAACUGUAUAGUAUUCUUCUGAAUAGGUCUAUAUGGAACUGUGACUCCUCAGCUUCAUAUGUUGAAAUCUUACUCUUUAGUGCCUAGUGCCUCCAAAUGGCUGGAAUUGAACAUAUUUGUAAUACGGU